CCAGGGGCACGCCGAUGGGUCUCCAGUUCUCUGAUGCGGAGAUAAUGUCGGAGCUCUUGGUAUGGUAGGCAUGUGGCCUCAGGAUCUAAUGAGAAUUUAAUACCAAGAUAAAUCGGUUUUUAAUUCAAGGAACUCUUUCCUGCAAGAUCUUUUGCCGCAGUGGAGAUUAAGAAGGAGAUAAGCUGCAAGAAUGAGUCCAACAUUUCCAAGCAAGGUUGUUCUUUCUCCCAGGUUACUUAAUACAGAUUCUGGCUGAAAAGAUUCAUCUCAAGGAAUUGCAUUAUUGAAGAUGUCAGUAAAAGAGUUCCUGGAUCUUGGAAGAGAAUUACUAAAACUGUGCAGGGGAGGAAUAAAAUUGAAGGGUGUUUUUCUUAGAGAACACCAUGUGUGAGAUUUAUCAAGAAUUCAAAGAUUUAUAUAAGGUAAAAAGUUCAUAAAUUUUUUUUUAAGAUAGUAAUUUUAUUUAAUUAAUUUAUUUUUUGGCUGUGCUGCGUGACACAUGGGGUCUUCCUAGCCACAGAUUGAACCCGUGCCCUCUGCAGUGGAAAUGCAGUCUUAACCACUGGACCACUGGGAAGUCCAUAUAUACUUUUUUAGUUUUGACAAAAGAAGACCACAAAAAUCUGACUUGAGAAAAAAAAUGGAUUUUGUAUUCGUUAUGCAUGGAGCAUAAUGUGGAUAUUAAAAAUUUUCCUUAUUCAGCUUUCAAAGAUAAAAAAUAUUAUUUCAAAGAUAGUGUAAUUUUCAUUUGAUUCAGGAGAGGCUGCUGGGUGGGUGGGGGGUGGCAGGACUUUUAACCUUGAUGGUCAUUUUUUUAAAAAAAAUAAUGAUAUAAUUCUUUCAGGCCCUGAAAUUCUUAGAGGUCAGAUAUUCUGGGGUUUAAAUUGGUUGAAUUAUUGGAUAUUCUAUGAAUAAUUCUUUGAUAUGCCAGUGGAUGACUAUCCUUUUACUUGAGCUUUGUUCAGGAACAGUGGACAGGCAGGUAGUCAGAGCUGAGAAUCUCAACCCUAAUACCAGAUUAACCUGAUAUGAAUUAGGCAUGGUAUCUUGGGGUGUUUCUCAAAUUUAACUAAGUUAAUUUUCUAUUUCUUAAAAUUUUGAUAUAAACUUUAUGGCCCUCAAUGAUAAGAUGUAUGAAAUAAAUGCAUUCGAAAACAGAAUUUAAACAUUAAUGGACCGGAUGAUACUGUUCUCCAGAAGUAAACGUCGUACUGGCUGCUGUUCAGUAAGUUUUAUAUACAUAUGGUCUUGUGCCUGUGAUUGUGAGGAUUUACAAUCUGGGCAACAGUACAGUUACCCAGAACUUUAAUCUUCUGCAGUCCUUAAGACUAGUGAAGUCAGGGGAGGGGCUCUAAAUUCUCAAUAAAUUUAAACACUCUGAAGGGUGUUUUUGGACUGUCUGCAAAUCCUUAUUUGAAGAAUUCUAUAUAACAUUAUCUCCAAACAUUCUUCCAGUGAGUAUUUCAGAGUCUAGGAAUUAACAUUCUUUUCAGGAAAACUUCAGUUUUUUUUUUAUAUAGAACUUGGCUAGUAAUUAAGUAAAUUGGGUUAAAAGUUGACUAUUUUGGGGGGGAAAAAAUUGACUAUUUUUUGAAUUAUCAACGCAAGUUUUUCUUUUUUACAUACAGGUCCUUUGCGCCAUUUCAACAUGCAUGAAUCAGUUUUCACGCCGAAGUUAGACAGCACCUGACCAGUUCAACAACACAGCUGAACUUUAAGUUGUCACAAUAUUAACUGUGAAUUAUUGCAUAAAUUUGGCUACCUCUCUUUAUUCCAGAAUCAUUAUGCAAAGAAAAGGUGUGCAUCAAGAAUGGUAACAGAAAAAAAGAAAAUGGUAACAGUUACAUCACUUCUUUCAAAGUCUUAGUCAUUGCCCAUCUAUUAGUUACACAGAUAGCAAAGCGUGUAACUGUUGCCUCCUUGUCUCCCAGUGAUAAACCCAUGGAACAUUUUACAAAAAUGGAUAUUCAGAAGAGGGAAUUGGUCAAUAAAUAUGACUGAACUACAAAGAAAUGAAAAGUGGUUAACACUGCAGGUAAAAUUAGUGUUAGAAGCUUUGAAAAUGGCCACUGCAAAGGAAAUAUAGGACGAUAUCACGACCUACAUGAAGCAACAGUACAAGCCACAUUUUAAGAGUCUGAUGAAUAUAAAAGCAAGAUAAAAGUUGGUUCAACAUCUGUUGGUGUAAAAUUUCACCAAGAACAGAAAGCUGCUUAUGGUUGAAAUGGAGCAUUUACUUUUCCUUUGUAGUGUAAUCAAGAACAAAUACUAGUCAGUUUGACAUUGAAGUUAGUUGCUACAUUGAAGGAAAUGAUAAUUACAAGGACAUCUGUUUACUGCCAGUAAAGGCUGGUUUCAUCUCAAAGUCAACACAAAUUAAUGGUAAACUACCUAGUGAAGCUACAAACUCAGAUAAAGAUGCUACUGUGAAAUGUGCACUCAAGAUUCCAAGAAUUACAGACAGUCCUUGCUUUGUACAAUAGUGAGAGGCUGUACUGUGGAAAAACUGCAGGAUUUGGAUGGGAUGUAAAUGGAUAUAAAGAUGACUGUGAGAGUGUUGACACUGCUGCCAUUCAAGAAAUAGUUCUAGGUAUGUAGGAGGCAGAACUUAGUGAAGUUUUAUGUGAAGAAAGCAGUCGUAAACAAUGAAUGUGUCUCAAAAGAAGUGAUGCUGUUGAACAACUUCACAUUGAAGGAACUCACAGAGCUGUAUCAUGAUAUUGACUUAAAAGAUAAAAUUUUGGAAGCUGAUUCAAAGUUGGAAAUGAGUAUGACAGUUUGCCAAGGCAUAGAUAAGAUGCCUUGGCAUCUUACUCCAUAUUAUAAGUUUUAUAAUGAGAAAGCAAGCACAUUUCAAAACUACUUGAUACAUCUUUUUUUAUAAAGGAAUAAAACAACUUUCAGUGUUU